CAUAACUUCCAUUCAAUUUAACCAAAGAAUUUAUUAAUUUUUCAAAUUUCAUCUAUACAAAAAAAUUGGACAAAAACUGUCUCCCUCCUUUUUCUUUUUUUUUUUUUCACAUUGACAGCUCAGUUAAACUCUCCAUCUUCUCCUCUCAAUUCUCUAAGCAGUACUUCUCAAUUCUCAAUUCUCAAUUUUAUAAAAAAAAACGUGAUGUCCAAAAAUCAGAGGUUCUGUUUAGCUUCGAAAUUUUGUCAAGCAAAAUCAAAGAUAUUCGAGAAAUGACUAUUCCGGAGCAUCAAAAACGGAUGAUAAAUAGACUUCUUCCUGGUAAAGUGGCAUAUACAGAUGAAUUUAUAAAAGGCAUGGAAGAGUUCAUUAAAUUUGCUUGUAGUCAACCGAAGUACUUGUCCGAGAAAGUCAUAAGGUGUCCUUGUAAAAUUUGUAAGAACAUGAAGCACUUUACGCCCGAUGAAGUUAAUGUUCAUAUUUUCAAGAAAGGGUUCGCUCCGGGUUAUUGGUAUUGGACGUCACAUGGAGAGGAAGCUCCUUCAAUUAAUUUGAAUGAACAUGUCCAUUCAAGUGCUUCAACUAGUCAUCGAGGAUGUAGCUUUGACAUGUCUUCAAGCAGUCAAACUAACAUUCUAGCGGAAGUCACUGAACACGUAACAAUAACUAAAUAAUACGAAAACCGAAGCACAAGACACUACAGAUUGUAACAGAGAUCGAAGAACAAAAAACUGUGAGAAUAACACUAAUACUACUGGAUUAGCUAUAUGGAUCUUCAUUAAGGUGCUUCUAGCAUUACGUCUGCCUUCUGAAAAAUUUCAGGUGCUUCUAGUAUUACGUCUGCCGUCAAUAACAGUUGGGGGUUUAAAAUUAAGAGUUAUACCAGUAGAUAUUGUACGGUUAAAUCUACCGUCAAUUACCCAACUUCUCCCUCCCCAAAUCUUUAUGUUUCCCUUGCUACGCUGUUCUGUUUUGGUGGGAACGAAAGCAACUUUUUUUAAAAAAAUUUUGCUUUCCUUCACUUAAUAUCAUACUUCGUCUUGGUGAAUAUUCACUUUAGAUUCCCCAGCCGGACCAUAAUUUGAUUUCUGAUUGAGCUACGAGCACAAGUAGAUAGUCAGUCAGGGCGGAGAGUGUUGGAUAGCUUUCCUUUUCAGUUGAUCUCCGGCUGAUCAAUGACAUUAAUGGUGCUAGUUGCAACCCCCUUAAUACGUGCCAUAGAAGUAGCUCUAGUAUUACGUCUGGCGUCUGAUCAAUUUCAGGUGCUUCUAGUAUUACGUCUGUCGUCUGAUGAAUUUCAGGUUCUUCUAGUAUUAUGUAUAGUCAUACCAGUAGACGUUGUACGGUUAAAUCUACCAUCAAUUACCGAACUUCUCCCUCCCCAAAUCUUUAUGUUUCCCUUUCUACGCUGUUCUGUUUUGGUGGGAACGCAAGAAACUUUUUUUUAAAAUUCUGCUUUCCUUCACAUAAUAUCAUACUUCGUCUUGGUGAAUAUUCACUUUAGAUUCCCCAGUCGGACCAUAAUUUGAUUUCUGAUUGAGCUACGAGCCCAAGUAGAUAGGCAGUCAGGGCGGAGGGUGUUGGCUAGCUUUCCUUUUCAGUUGAUCUCCGGCUGAUCAAUGACACUAAUGGUGCUAGUUGCAAGCCUAGUUAAAAAUUCCAACCAUAGUUUAAUUAUAGAUUAAGUGGUGAUGCAGUGCCUUUCACUGCCAUCAGUUUACUAACUACAAAUGCAGUUUUGUUCGGCAAUUGACCCAUUUGUUGCUGGUAUUUGUGCCUCAUCUUAGUGGAUGACCGCAAUCUGCGGGUAGCUGAUUUUUCUCAGUUUUGGGCAACUGCGAAGAAUGAGUUUGAAAGAAAGAAACAAGAAAAAUUAGCCGUUCAAAGUGCAUCAGCUAUGGAUGGAGAAACUAAUUCAGCUAGUCAGCUGACUCAGUUAAGUGAAAUGGAUAUCUAGGUGCAAUCUGUUGGUGGAAAGAAGAAAGGAAGAGUCAAAGGUCUUGGCUCCCUAGGUUGAAGUGUAAAGGCAACUAACAGUUUCAACAUCAACUUAAAAGAAAUUGAUGAGAUGAUUAAGUCUCAGGUUGAUGCUUCAAAUACUGAUUUGUAUUCUCAAUUACAGACUGAGCGAAAGAAAAAUAAGAGGAUGAGAAAGGAAUUACACUUGUUGAUGAAGCAUGUCUACAACAAAUCAUCUUCAAACAAUGAACGUCCAUCUCAAGAAGACUACCAAGCUUAUGAGGAUGAAAGUUAUGAUGACUCUGACGACGUGAAUGGAAGUGAUAAUCCCGAUAACGUGAAUGAAAGUGAUUUUGAUCCUGAUGGUUGGUAGUUUUAUUGAGGAUUCAAGUUUUAAAUAUUUUGUUUUGGACCAUUUAAGAAUCAUACAUUAUUGAUGUGGAUGUUUCAAAUUAUGUUUUUUAUUAUAUAAUGGUUUACAUUAAACUUGUUUUGAAUGAUGUUUUGGAGAAUUA